UUUAGUAUACUUCACACCGGAAACAGCAGUUUCGUCACUUUGGCGCGAGAAGUGGAUUUUUCCGCGAAUAGCAGUAUUUUUAUAUUGACGGUCUCUUUGUGCUAUUGUUGCUUUUAAAUAAUUAGGAAAAUACAUAUACGACAUAUGAGAUUGUUGUUACAGUUGCGCUUUACAAUUAUGUUUUAGACGAGUCGUCUUUUUUUUUGAUAAAUUGUAGGAUAUAAACUAGUUAAAUACUAAGCUGCUUGCACAACUCUUGAUCGCUUUGUUGUCUGGACUGUCAAGACGAUGACAACCGCAAAGAACUCUAAAAGUGAAGAUGCGUCUCUAUCCCUGUCAGCUAUGCGGCUUAUAGCUCCGCCUCUGCGCCUGCUCUCUGCAUCCAUGUGGAAAGUUAUGCAGAAGAGGGAUGCAGUGCAUUAUGGGAAACUGGAGGAGACUGUAACGUCAAUCUGUGAAACUGUACCUGGGUUGCUCCACUACAGACAUCAGGCCAGGCUUUCAUUGGGUUUGCGGGCACUGUUGAUCCUUGAAGAACUUCAAUCUGAUCCUCCUGAUGCUGAGCAUGUCCUCCAGGAGUUAGACAGGCUGCAAGCUUUCUCGAUCGACAGCGGCAGGAGGAAGGAUAAGAAGGUGGAGGAAGCUAAACGCAAUUUCCACACCCUCGUACACUCUCUCCUAAAGAGCCCAGCUGCCAGACAACAGUUCUUCAAGGAGGAUUUUCAUCAACAGUAUGGAGAAAACUAUGUAGCCAGUCUAGAGAAACUACUUUGGGAGUUUCUAAUAAGAUUGGAUCAACUAUUACCUGUUCCAGACCUUGCUCAGACAGUGUCAUGGCUCAGCGGUGCCCCUGCUGUUCUGGAGGAGUGUGCUCGCACUGCCUCACAGCCCCAGCUCCUCAGGACUCUGCUGCAACACGAGAAAUGUCUCGGACACCUCGGCUCAGCAUCUCUUCUGUCUUCCACUGGUGACUCGAUCCUAUCAUCCCUUUCCCUCCCUCUUUCUGGCAGAGUGCAGCAGACGGUCCAAUCAGAAUCCACUCCCAAGUCUAACAGAGUCAUUAGUCCAGCCCUGUCGAUGCCCAGAACCACUCGUAGAUCAGCAAGAGAUCUAUCACAGAUUGCACCUGUGAUUGGAUCAAUUUCCAAUCAAAUAAACACCGUAACCAAUAAGACCGUAACAUCCAGUUCAGCAAAACCAAUUGACCAGGCUUCAGAGACCUCAGUAAAUAUGAGGACCAAACUCAGAUCAUGUACUAAAAAAAAGGAGGAUGCACAAAAUGAGUAUGUUGUUGGUAAUAUGUUAGUCACAGUCGUCAGUCAGUCAUCAAGCAGUGAAACAGAAGGAGAAGACAGCAAUAACAAAAGGAGUGAUGACGAAAAACGUAGUGAGGGGAAUGACGUACCAAAAAGAAAGACGAAAGGAAAGAUCACAAAUAGAAAAGAAGAUGGAGGUGUUAGGAGAAAUUCAUCUGAAGAAAACUCCAAAGGCAUUUGCUCGGAGGAAGAGGCAAACUUAAGUGCUCUUCUCGUUUCUUGUAUGAAGCGCCAAGUGAGAGUUGUUAUUCCCAGAUUGAAGAUCAGCAAUCUACCUGUCCAUCUGCCUGAUGAGCAAGAUGCAGCAAAAUCUCCAUGCCAAACUCGGGACGUAUCCACAGCAGGAAACAGUCACUCCAUGAAACGGAAGAGGAACUUUGUGGAUUGGACUCCGACACCUGAAAAGUACCUGGGGAGUGCAAUCAAUAAACCGUCAUCUGAGUGCUCUCCAUGUAUUCCUCCUGUUCUGCGUUUUCCAAUGGCUAGUCCAGAAACACCAUCUUCCAUAGCUGAUUCGUCUGGAGAAAUCAUAGUCGAUUCUGAUGAUGAAAGAUCAGAGAAAGUGAAGAGAAAGUGUGUUUAUACAGCGACAAGAUCCAUACUGAACAAGUAGUUGUUAAUUCAAUGAUGCAACUCUCUUUUGGACACUGACAGCUCGUCUGAGAUGUCUGUCCUCACUUCAGGAGCAGUACUAGCAAAUCAGAGACAUUCAGGUGUUCACACAGCGCUAUUGCAAGACAAAGAAUGGCACGUAUGUGCCGACUCUACAGGAGUUCUGGAAUCCAGGGUUUUAUCACAGAGACAUUGUGUCACCUGGAAACAAAUGUUGAUUUAGUUACAUGGUAACUACUUUUACUAUUAUAAAUAGCUUGUCGUUUUCCUCUAUAAAACACUUUUAGAUAGUAUGAGCAUUAAUAAUUGUCAUAUAUUAAAUAUAUUGUGAUUAUAUUUUAUUUGUAUCAUGUGGAAUAGUUAUUAUAAGUGCAUUCUUUUUUUUUAAUAAAGAAUUUUGUCUGCUA